rnacentral:lncRNA from 13 species
GACUUCAACCAGAUUGAAUAUCUAUCAGAAGAGAAACUGUAUCCCUCAGAAAGAGGGGUGGUGAUUCUCAGGCCCAUGAAAACAAUAAUUCUUCAAAAACCAACAUGGGCAAUGACUCCAAAAAAAGUUCAGAAGGCAAGCAGACUUAUCUGCUACUUCACCACAGACUUAUCUGCUACUGAUUACCAGUUCACUUCUCCUGGAGGAUUGCUUGCCAUCAGAAGAAAAUAUAUUCAUCCCACAUGCACAGGUCGCUCUGGUAAGAAACAUCGAUGACCAUUAGGUCCCUACCAAUGCAGACAGAAGAUAAGUAGGAAGAAAACUAACUAUGUGCCAUCAAUUGUGGGAGAAGAAAGUCUAGUGAGAAAUAUAACCUGUUUUAAGUUAUUCUUUUUUUUUUUUUCGGUUUUGUCACCUUGAACUGUAAGUAAUUAAUAGCAAUAGUCCCUCUGAGCUUAAAAGCCACAAAGUAUAUAUCCUGGUAGUUUGCAACUUCUGCUAAUGUCAGUAAGAUGCUGAAAUUGGUUAGUAGGCACUGAUUUCUCCUCUGUUUCCUUCAGAUUUUAAUUUACUACCUGGCCCAAUUAUCUUAUUUUCUGAGUUUCCAAAAUUUGUUAAUCGUUCAGAAAUUUCAAUAUAGUUCCAAUUAAAGCCAACAACAUAAAAAUGGAAAAAAAUUGCUUAUGAUCAAUGGAAUUACAAAAAAAUAUUAAAUUAAUUAAUGAUUAGCUGCCUGUGGGAAUUGUUAAUUAUUUAAAGUUAUUUUUAAUAAACACACAGCAUUUCUGUGACUUUCA